rnacentral:rRNA from 1 species
GAGCGGGCGUAGCAAUACGUCAGCGGCAGACGGGUGAGUAACGCGUGGGAACGUACCUUUUGGUUCGGAACAACCCAGGGAAACUUGGGCUAAUACCGGAUAAGCCCUCACGGGGUAAAGAUUUAUCGCCGAAAGAUCGGCCCGCGUCCGAUUAGCUAGUUGGUGAGGUAAUGGCCCACCAAGGCGACGAUCAGUAGCUGGUCUGAGAGGAUGAUCAGCCACAUUGGGACUGAGACACGGCCCAAACUCCUACGGGAGGCAGCAGUGGGGAAUAUUGGACAAUGGGCGCAAGCCUGAUCCAGCCAUGCCGCGUGAGUGAUGAAGGCCCUAGGGUUGUAUAGCUCUUUUGUGCGGGAAGAUAGUGACGGUACCGCAAGAAUAAGCCCCGGCUAACUUCGUGCCAGCAGCCGCGGUAAU